GUAGAAGUAAUUAAGAGUGUAUGGCGGAUGCCUAGGCUCUCAGAGGCGAAGAAAGACGUGAGACACUGCGAUAAGCCAUGAUGAGGAGUGAACUAUCCUAUGAUUCAUGGAUUUCUGAAUGGGGCAACCCGGUAUGUUGAAGACAUAUCACCCUUCGGGGGGCGAACGUGGGGAACUGAAACAUCUAAGUACCCAUAGGAGAAGAAAACAAUAGUGAUUUCCUGAGUAGCGGCGAGCGAAACGGAAUUAGCCCAAACCAAUGACGUUUCGGCGUUAUUGGGGUUGUAGGACCACAAUAUAAGAGAGUGAUUAUAGAGGAAUGCUUUGGGAAGAGCAACCAUAGAGAGUGAUAGUCUCGUACUUAAAAUAAGAACUUAAUUUAGUGGUAUCCUGAGUAGGGCGGGACACGAGUAAUCCUGCUUGAAUCUGCCAGGACCAUCUGGUAAGGCUAAAUACU
rnacentral:rRNA from 1 species